UCGCUUCAGCAGCACAUACACUAAAAUUGGAAGGAUACGGAGAAGAUUAGCGUGGUCCCUGUGCAAGGAUGACACGCAAAUUCAUGAAACGUUGCAUACUUUU
ensembl:snRNA U6 U6 spliceosomal RNA